UAUCAUUCAGUAUUUUAGGGUAUUUUGAUUCGUUUGGAGAUUGGCAAGUGAAGUUGGAGUUAUGAGAGACAGGUGGGUGCAAUGUUCCGUUUAGAGGUUUACAAAUGUUUUUAUUGUGGAUGAAAAUCGGAAAAAUUUGGAGAACAUGAUUUUCAUUCCGCUUUUUGUUCCGGUUGUUUGGUUGUAUGUUGGAGUUGUUUUUGUAUACAUGCCAUUUCAGGUGUAUGGUUAUUAUUGGUAUUCAAAGGAAAGUGGGGGACAAGAAUUUGGUUGCAAAUCGUUGACGACAGUGGUGUUGUGGAUGUUGUGGGACAUAAUCAAAUUCAACAGCAAUUAUUUGGACAUUCAGCUGCUGCGCAUCAAAGCGGAUUGAUUGGGAUUCCCGAUUUCUCAGCUAUGAAUAAGCAAUAUCGCGUCAUACUGAAACAGGCUUAUACUAAUAUUGAAGGUCGGAGCAAAGAAACAAUCAGCAUAACGUAUAUGGAAGAAAAAAAGCCAGACGAAAUUCCAGGAAGUGCUAUGGAUAUUGUUGUCAAUGACGACAAUACAA